rnacentral:lncRNA from 1 species
CUUUUUAGCGCCAUCUGUCUCCUGGAGUCCUGGUCGCUCACUGUGCUUUACCAAAAAAAAACAAUUAAUUAGUUCAUAGGCUGGCGAGGAGUCUCCUCUGGUUUGGGGCCAAGAAGCCACCUGCCCCACUGGGCUCUGUCUUUUUCCUGGAACCCUUCCUGCUUCUUUGUUCAGCCUCCCACGGGACAGCGAACUUCAGUGGCAGCGCUGGUCUUGCUGACCCACCCUCCCGACUUGGACAGGGCCUGCCUGGCAUGGCAGGUGCUGUGAAGGAAGCCACAGGAUGGAAACCCUGAUGCUCUGCAGACAGAAACAGCUGCCGGGCUUGGGGACCUGGCUGGAUGUCUUCCCCCUGUGCCUCUGUUUCUCCAUCUGUAUAGUGGGAUGGCUGGCAGGGCCCAGGCCCCUCCCACCA